rnacentral:rRNA from 1 species
UGGGCAACCUGCCUCAUAGAGAGGAAUAGCCUUCCGAAAGGGAGAUUAAUACCUCAUAACAUUGCAGUUUCGCAGUGGAACAGCAAUUAAAGGAGCAAUCCGCUAUGAGAGUCGGGCCCGCGGCGCAUUAGCUAGUUGGUGAGGUAACGGCUCACCAAGGCGACGAUGCGUAGCCGACCUGAGAGGGUGAUCGGCCACAGUUGGGACUGAGACGACCGGCCCAGACCUCCGUACGGGAGGCAGCAGGUGGGAAUAUUGCACAAUGGGGGAAACCCUGAUGCAAGCAACGCCGCGUGAGUGAUGACGGCCUUCGGGUUGUAAAGCUCUGUCUUCAGGGACGAUAAUGACGGUACCUGAGGAGGAAGCCACGGCUAACUACGUGCCAGCAGCGGC